UUUUCCGCAAUGGGCGAAAGCCUGACGGAGCAAGACCGCGUGGGGGAAGAAGGCUCUUGGGUUGUAAACCCCUUUUCUCUGGGAAGAAAGUUGUGAAAGCAGCCUGACGGUACCAGAGGAAUCAGCAUCGGCUAACUCCGUGCCAGCAGCCGCGGUAAGACGGAGGAUGCAAGCGUUAUCCGGAAUGAUUGGGCGUAAAGCGUCCGCAGGUGGCAGUUCAAGUCUGCUGUCAAAGACCGGGGCUCAACCUCGGAAAGGCAGUGGAAACUGAACAGCUAGAGUAUGGUAGGGGCAAAGGGAAUUCCUGGUGUAGCGGUGAAAUGCGUAGAGAUCAGGAAGAACAUCGGUGGCGAAGGCGCUUUGCUGGACCAUAACUGACACUCAGGGACGAAAGCUAGGGGAGCGAAUGGGAUUAGAUACCCCAGUAGUCC
rnacentral:rRNA from 1 species